rnacentral:rRNA from 1 species
GUGGGGAAUCUUAGACAAUGGGCGCAAGCCUGAUCUAGCCAUGCCGCGUGAGCGAUGAAGGCCUUAGGGUUGUAAAGCUCUUUCGUGGGGGAAGAUAAUGACUGUACCCCAAGAAGAAGCCCCGGCUAACUCCGUGCCAGCAGCCGCGGUAAUACGGAGGGGGCUAGCGUUGUUCGGAAUUACUGGGCGUAAAGCGCACGUAGGCGGACUGGAAAGUCAGGGGUGAAAUCCCGGGGCUCAACCCCGGAACUGCCUUUGAAACUCCCAGUCUUGAGUUCGAGAGAGGUGAGUGGAAUUCCGAGUGUAGAGGUGAAAUUCGUAGAUAUUCGGAGGAACACCAGUGGCGAAGGCGGCUCACUGGCUCGAUACUGACGCUGAGGUGCGAAAGCGUGGGUAUCAAACAGGAUUAGAUACCCCGGUAGUCC